rnacentral:tRNA from 1 species
AAUAAAUUAGAGCUUGAAUAAGUAUUUUAUUUACAUUAAAAAGAUUAUUGUUAAUUCAAUAUAGUUUAA